rnacentral:snRNA from 9 species
UGUUUUGCACAGUGGCAGUAUUGUAGCCUGUGAGGUUAAUCCGAGGCUCGAUUAUUGCUAGUUGAGAAACUCGUUAUCAUGUGAAAAACACACCUCCUAGGCAGAAAACACCCCCAACCCAAAUAAGCCCCCUCUUCUCUGGGCAUGCCUAGUGAAUUAAAAGAGCACUGGAUC